rnacentral:rRNA from 1 species
UACGUAGGGACCAAGCGUUGUUCGGAUUUACUGGGCGUAAAGGGCGCGUAGGCGGCGCGGUAAGUCACUUGUGAAAUCUCUGAGCUUAACUCAGAACGGCCAAGUGAUACUGCAGUGCUAGAGUGUGGAAGGGGCAAUCGGAAUUCUUGGUGUAGCGGUGAAAUGCGUAGAUAUCAAGAGGAACACCAGUGGCGAAGGCGACUUACUGGACACAUAUUGACGCUGAGGUGCGAAAGCGUGGGGAGCAAACAGG